AUGGAUGGACUCAAGUGGGUAAGGACGCCAUCAGCACGUGAUAAGAUUAGGUGCUGGGUACCACAUCCGCCCAAAUCCAAGGUCUCAAGCCACACAGAUGUCUCGUGCUUGGAAAGGGCCCAUUACACAUAUCAUGGAAACAAGAUCUAUUUUUGUAUUUUUGUAAUCAUUAAACAUAUCAGAUGUCUCGUGUUUGGAAUGUGCAAGCUGAACUCCUCUAUCAUUGGCGUUAAUCUUCCAAUCAACAAGGGCCAUUACACAUAUCAUGGAAACAAGAUGGUUAUUGAUUUAUGCUGCACAAUGCCCUAUCUAUGUUCAGAAUAUAUUCAUGUCUGA
rnacentral:rRNA from 1 species